rnacentral:rRNA from 1 species
AGACAGCAGUAGCCGCGGUAAUACGUAGGGUCCGAGCGUUGUCCGGAAUUAUUGGGCGUAAAGGGCUCGUAGGCGGUUUGUCGCGUCGGGAGUGAAAACCAGCAGCUUAACUGCUGGCCUGCUUUCGAUACGGGCAGACUUGAGGCAUUCAGGGGAGAACGGAAUUCCUGGUGUAGCGGUGAAAUGCGCAGAUAUCAGGAGGAACACCGGUGGCGAAGGCGGUUCUCUGGGAAUGUUCUGACGCUGAGGAGCGAAAGUGUGGGGAGCGAACAGGAUUAGAUACCCCAGUAGUCCCUGUCUCUUAUAC